rnacentral:rRNA from 1 species
GGCGAACGCUGGCGGCGUGCUUAACACAUGCAAGUCGAACGGUGAAGCGCCUUCCUUUUUGGUGGGUGUGGAUGAGUGGCGAACGGGUGAGUAACACGUGAGUAACCUGCCCCCUUCUUCUGGAUAACCGCAUGAAAGUGUGGCUAAUACGGGAUAUUCUGGGUCUGUCGCAUGAUGGGUCUGGGAAAGAUAUUGUUUCGGUGGGGGAUGGGCUCGCGGCCUAUCAGCUUGUUGGUGGGGUGAUGGCCUACCAAGGCGGUGACGGGUAGCCGGCCUGAGAGGGUGGACGGUCACACUGGGACUGAGACACGGCCCAGACUCCUACGGGAGGCAGCAGUGGGGAAUAUUGCACAAUGGGCGCAAGCCUGAUGCAGCGACGCCGCGGGAGGGAUGGAGGCCUUCGGGUUGUGAACCUCUUUCGCCAGUGAAGCAGGCCUGCCUCGUUUGUGGGUGGGUUGACGGUAGCUGGAUAAGAAGCGCCGGCUAACUACGUG